GGGAGGGAGCCGGGCCGCCACGUCGCCGGCCCUGCGCAGGCUGCACACUCCGCUCCGCCCAUAGUCCUCCCGGGCCUCCCCAUAGAAGGAUUGAACGAACACCUAGAUCUGUGUAGAUCUAAAUAUACCACUGCGAAUCUCUUGAGUGACAGAUGUCCACUGAAUGAAGACGGGAUUGCUGAGGUCCUGAAUUUUGCUUGUUAACAGAAAGUGAAACAUAAGAAGAAUGUCACUGAGCAUGGGAUGCAGAAACUGAGAAGAAAAGUGAUGGAAUGGCUUCCCUCACCUAAUAAGAAGCCACGGAGCUAAGAUUCAAACGUAUGCUCCUGUACAGAUGAGCCAUCAAACCUGGGCUUCUUUGCCUCCAGUGCUGGUGAAGUACAAGGCAUAUAAUGGAUGCCAGUAAAUGUGACCCUGGACUGUAAGCUCCCUGAGGGCAAGGCAUUUGGACAAUUUUAUUCACUACUGAGUUCUCACACUGAAAGCGGUGCCUUGUGCAGAGGAGGCAGCCAGCAAUCAUGUUCAGACUAAAUAAAUGGAUUUUGCAUUCAUGGCAGG